GGUCUGGGAUAGCCAUUCUAACGGAUGGGUAAAACUGGACGAUUUGGCGCAAGUCAAGAAAGGUAACGCCUCAUGAGGGGCCCAAAUGGUAUUAGCUAGUUGGUGAGGUAAUGGCUCACCAAGGCGAUGAUGCCUAGCGGGUGUGAGAGCACGACCCGCGCCAUUGGCACUGAGACACUGGCCAGACUCCUACGGGAGGCUGCAGUCGAGGAUCUU
rnacentral:rRNA from 1 species